CCUACGGGAGGCAGCAGUGAGGAAUAUUGGUCAAUGGACGAGAGUCUGAACCAGCCAAGUAGCGUGAAGGAUGACUGCCCUAUGGGUUGUAAACUUCUUUUAUAAAGGAAUAAAACGAGGCACGUGUGCCUGUUUGAAUGUACUUUAUGAAUAAGGAUCGGCUAACUCCGUGCCAGCAGCCGCGGUAAUACGGAGGAUCCGAGCGUUAUCCGGAUUUAUUGGGUUUAAAGGGAGCGUAGAUGGGUUGUUAAGUCAGUUGUGAAAGUUUGCGGCUCAACCGUAAAAUUGCAAUUGAUACUGGCAGUCUUGAGUACGGUUGAGGUAGGCGGAAUUCGUGGUGUAGCGGUGAAAUGCUUAGAUAUCGCGAAGAACCCCGAUUGCGAAGGCAGCUUACUAAACUGCGACUGACAUUGAUGCUCGAAAGUGUGGGUAUCAAACAGGAUUAGAUACCCUUGUAGUC
rnacentral:rRNA from 1 species